GUUAAGUGUUUAUUAACAUUUGUCAAUAGUUCCAAUUUCUCCAGUAAAGAUAUAUUUUGUAUUAAUGUAUCAUUGUUUACGCAGCGGAAUUCACAGAUCAAAGUCAAAACACAACAUUCCAGAUUGCGGGGACCUCACUUCCUGUUUGACAGAGCCCACGUCAGCGAAAUGCACUUGUAGGACCGGAAGUAAAUCUCUACACGGGAAGUGAAUGGACACGCCAUCACGAGCUCACGAAAUGUUUGCGUCGUUUGUUGUCGCUAAAAUUCGAUCAAAUCCAGAAAUGACGAGGAAUUUUCAUCGCGUAUGAACAGCCGCUGGUCCAAAGAAGGAAAAUGCAAGAAACUGACCGAGAAACGCCGCCGAAAAUGGCUUUUAAACUUCACCUGGGAUUGUUUGGAGUGGAGUCGGACGGGGCUAACGCAGGUGUUUGCGGCCACCUCCUCGUCGAAGGCUUGAAACAACAUUGUGUCUAUAGACUGGGCUCCUACACAAGCUUGGGUACAAGAAGAGAGGAUGAAGUCCAGAGACGAUGAACAAAGACACACAGAGGCCUAACUGGAUCUCCACGAGUCAGCUGAGAACCUAGAGCCAGAGGACGUCACUGAGAUGUUACACGAUCAACAAGGUCCGUACUGCAAAGCAAGACUGAGGUUAAUCUGUGAGCCUGGAGACAAGAGAUUCUGCCUCAUCAGUGAUGGAGACGAUGUUUCAGCAGACAGGAGCUGUGCUGACUGCUUCCACAUCCAGGAUUAAAAUGUCAACCAGUGAAUACUUGACUUUGUAAAGAAGAGACCAGCAUGACGACAUCUGCAGAAGGUCAGUGUUAGUUUAUUUCUUUUCAGUCUGCCUCUGUCAUUAUCUUAGCUGCAGUUUGACACUUUAAAACCUGUUGUCUGGAACAAACAUCACUAAAUUAAAGCUGCUGUAGUUUAUCAGUUUUAAUUACUAUGAAUAUUUUCCCACAAUUUAACAGCAAAAAAUAAAGUGUUAAACCUUUAGAUGCAUGUGGCUAAAAUUUUAAGUAAUGAAAAACUUUUAAGUGUGUAACUGUAAAAUAUUCCUUGACAUAAAGCCUUUAACAUAAUAAUUGUAAAAACUUAAGUGAUCCAAAACCUUAGUGUGUAGCUGUAAAAGAAACUUGAGAUAUGUGAUUUAAAACCUUGAAAAUGUGUAUAGCUGCAAAAAAUUCCAUGACAUAAAGCCUUUAACAUAAUGAUAAUUGUUAAAACUUAAGUGAUCUCAAGUCUUUUAAGUCAUAUUAAAAAAGAGCAUGACGCUUAGCAAAGUAAAUUGUAUGAAGUAAAACACAGGAAAACGUAACUCAGAAGUAAGAAACUUUUAAUGAUUUUGUUCCAGACAACAAUUUUAACAAACUACACAAAGAUAAUGACAGACGUUUGACCACUGGGAGACGCUUUGUUUUCUUCUCCCACCGAACAGUAU